GAGAAAUUUCCAUCUCAGAGGGGUGGGAACGUUGAAAAGAGAGUGCAGGUUCCCCCUGAGCCGACAGGAAACUGACCACAUGUGGCCACAGUCCACGCUGUCACCACAUCUGUCUGCUACCACUGUCACUGCUGGGACCGCCACGCUCACCUGUACACCACUGCCAUCAUGGUCCGCUUGGUACUGAUGUUUGCUGUGGUCAUCAUUGAAUACGUUUAUGGAAAACCUCCUCUACCUCCUCUACCUAUGAAAGAUGGCUGCUACCAGGUGUUUCCAGAGGUGGAGAUAUUCAGAGUGGAAGGUGAGGCAAUAAUCCUCUCCUUCCCAAUGUUCAACAGAGUGCUUGAAGUACGCAACAUUGCCCCCCCAACAGCAAAGUUCAUCAUCACCAAGGACAAUGGGACAGAGGGUGUGACCUAUGAGGGCAAGGGGCGUGUCAUGCAGAAUGACAAACAGUUGUGGUUCCUCCCUGCUAAGGCUUCUGACUCAGGGAACUAUAUCUGUACUUAUAGAAAUGAAACCUACUGUGUAACUGGGAGUAUCCCGCUAAUUGUGUACAAGUCCAGUAAGGUUGACAUGGAGAAACUAUCCUAUCCAAUCUCAGUCAAGGUGGGAGAGAACCUGAGACAGCGAUGUCCAUCUCUAAGUGACUUCAACAAGACAGACACAUCGAUAGAGUGGCACAAGGACUCCAGAAGGGGCUCCUUCAGCCAGGACCAAGGGUACCUACUGAUCCAUGCUGUGAGGCAAUCCCAUGGAGGUAUCUACACCUGUCAGGUCAGAGUGCUCAUCAACAACCAGCAGUACAAAGUCAGCAGAGCCGUCCAACUCCGUGUACAAGGUCUAGACCCUGCAAUCACUACUAAUCCCACUGUGCCUGACGUCUCCAUGACCUCUAACCCAGGGCUUAUCAGCAGCAGCAGCAGCAGCAGCAGCAGCAGCAGCAGCUACAGCACAGUUCACACUCCAAUGAUUCAACCACCGGUGAUUGUCUCGCCACUGAAUGGAACUAUUUUUGAAAGUCUGCAUGGUUCAGGACUGGAGCUGCUUUGCACAGUGCUCACUGAAUGUCAAAUGGCGCCGUCCACUGUGGUCACAUGGCUGGUCAAUGGUCAAUCAGUGGAGUCAUCCUACCUUGAUAGGCGGGCUCUGCAGGGGGGCAGGAGGGUAACCAGGAUGUCUGAGGGCUGCCAGAUUGAGUUGAGGCUAAUUCUUGUAGCGAUGACCGAAGAAGACGUGAUGACGGAGCUCAAGUGUGUCACUCAGAACCAAGGAGGGAGACAGGAAGUUGUCACACAGCUUCAGCUAGAGGACUCCACAUUUACAUGGCUGGUGGUAGCUGUGGUGGCCGUGUCCUGCUUUCUGACGGUGGUUUCUAUCUUCCUCUAUGUCAUCUUCAAACCUAAAAGGAAAAACAAAAUGGAUUACUUUCUGGCUCGGCAGAACAGCACUUUCUAACUCUGCUGGUGUGCUCGCUUCUUCCUUAAAACAAAAACCUUCUUUAACGUGUUUGCUGUUACAUCAAAUCACUGUUUCAUGCAUUGUGUGCAUGUGAUGUUAUGCAGUGACACAACCACACUGUGUUUGGUGAUUAACACUCCUUUCACAGGCAUUCAGUGUUCAAUCAGUAGCUGCUUUCAGCUGUUACCCACUGUCCUCCAUUUAUUUAUCCUUCACUGAGAAUUACACAUGGCAUUUUUCUUACUUUUGAUAUUGUAUGUGCUAAUGUGGCAAUAUUGAUACACUGAUACGUAUCUAAUAUUCUGUAUUGUGAUACUGGGGCUAUGGUGAUGGAUGUUACAGGGACUGUGCACAAUACAAAUGCAGAUCCUACUGACCUUGUUGCAUAACAUUUUUUUACUCAGAUUUUAUGCAUAUGGUGGUGCACUCUUUAUACUAUAACACCUACACCCCUACAAAAUCACCUUGCUUACAAUAUCACAAUAUACUGUAUUAUAUUGAAUCAUAACGCCUGUACAGUGUUGCCAGAUUUUUUUAAGGAAGACUUUUUUAUAUCGGCAUUAUAUAUUGGCCAAUGUUUUGUCAUUUAAACACUCAAAAGUUAAAAAUAUACGCUCAGUGGCCACUUUAUGAGUGAGAAACCUAAUGCAAUACAAUACAAGAGAUCAGCUAUAAAAUCUACCUAUAUUAAGUGCAGUUUUAAUUGAAACUGUCUGAGAGAGAUAAUAUUCAAUUUAUUGCUGAGGUUUAUUGCAAACAUUGAACAUUAUUAUCUUAAGGUUGAAUUUAUGGCUGAGCUUUUGUAUUGGAUUGCAAUAGAUUUUACAGCGGUACCCAGUGAAGUGGCCGCUGGAGUGUAUGUGUUGGGUUUUUUUUCAAAAUGCAAUAAAUCUUCUCAGGGAAGCAUUCUGCACUUUUACAUGUCAAAUCUAACCAAUCAAAUAUCUCAGUGUUGAUGUUUGAUGGUAUGUAGCAUUUAUAAUGUUUAAUAAUUGUUACAUUACUGCUCUAUUAAAAGUAUUAAAUGGUGUUGAUGAUCUAA